ensembl:lncRNA
UAGCUUCACAACCUUCCCAACUCCAUACCUCAGAAAGCUAGAAAGCCUCUACCAAGGAAUUGGACCUGAACAGAUUUGGUGACAGCAGUGGGAUAUGAAGUGAAUGUCUGAUGGCAUUUGGGACAACAAGAAAUGCAGCCAUGGUACCCGUGAACCUGAGUUCAUUAUCCUUCUCAUCACUUUCAAAAGCUGUGGGUUUCAUCAAUGAACAUGGAUUUUCUUUUUAAUUUAGAAAGAUGGUAAUGAUGAUCCUAUACACAAGGCAGCAAAAGAGACACAGAUGUAAAGAAAAGACUUUCGGACUACGUGGGAGAAGGCAAGGGUGGGAUGAUUUGAGAGAAUAGCAUUGAAACAUGUAUCUUACCAUAAGCAAAAUAGAGGACCAGUGCAAAUUCGAUGCAUGAAGCAGGGCACCCAAAGCUGGUGCUCUGGGACAAUGCAGAAGGAUGGUGGGGAGGAAGGUGGGAGGGAGUUCAGGAUGGGGGGACACAUGUGUACCUGUGGGUGAUUCAUGUCGAUGUAUGACAAAAACCACCACAACAUUGUAAAGAAAUUAUCCCCCAAUUAAAAUAAAUUAAAACAAAC